GACGAACGCUGGCGGCGUGCUUAACACAUGCAAGUCGAACGGAAAGGCCCUGCUUGCAGGGUACUCGAGUGGCGAACGGGUGAGUAACACGUGGGUGAUCUGCCCUGCUCUUCGGGAUAAGCCUGGGAAACUGGGUCUAAUACCGGAUAGGAGCCAUUUUUAGUGUGAUGGUUGGAAAGUUUUUUCGGUGUAGGAUGAGCUCGCGGCCUAUCAGCUUGUUGGUGGGGUAAUGGCCUACCAAGGCGGCGACGGGUAGCCGGCCUGAGAGGGUGGACGGCCACAUUGGGACUGAGAUACGGCCCAGACUCCUACGGGAGGCAGCAGUGGGGAAUAUUGCACAAUGGGCGCAAGCCUGAUGCAGCGACGCCGCGUGGGGGAUGACGGCCUUCGGGUUGUAAACUCCUUUCGCUAGGGACGAAGCUUUUUGUGACGGUACCUAGAUAAGAAGCACCGGCUAACUACGUG
rnacentral:rRNA from 1 species